rnacentral:rRNA from 1 species
CGAACGCUGGCGGCAGGCCUAACACAUGCAAGUCGAACGCAUGCCUUCGGGCAUGAGUGGCGCACGGGUGAGUAACGCGUGGGAACCGACCCUGGGGUUGGGGAUAACCGCUGGAAACGGCGGCUAAUACCCGAUACGCCCUGAGGGGGAAAGAUUUAUCGCCCUGGGACGGGCCCGCGUUGGAUUAGGUAGUUGGUGGGGUAACGGCCUACCAAGCCUACGGUCCAUAGCUGGUUUGAGAGGAUGAUCAGCCACACUGGGACUGAGACACGGCCCAGACUCCUACGGGAGGCAGCAGUGGGGAAUAUUGGACAAUGGGGGCAACCCUGAUCCAGCCAUGCCGCGUGAGUGAAGAAGGCCUUAGGGUUGUAAAGCUCUUUCAGUGGUGAAGAUGAUGACGGUAGCCACAGAAGAAGCCCCGGCUAACUCCGUGCCAGCAGCCGCGGUAAUACGGAGGGGGCAAGCGUUGUUCGGAAUUACUGGGCGUAAAGGGCGCGUAGGCGGAUAUUCAAGUCAGAGGUGAAAGCCCCGGGGCUCAACCUGGGAAUUGCCUUUGAAACUGGAUGUCUGGAGUUCGGGAGAGGUGAGCGGAAUACCCAGUGUAGAGGUGAAAUUCGUAG